AUUGAACGCUGGCGGCAGGCUUAACACAUGCAAGUCGAACGAUGAAACCUAGCUUGCUAGGUGGAUUAGUGGCGGACGGGUGAGUACAACUUGGGAAUCUACCUAUUAGCGGGGGAUAGCUCGGGGAAACUCGAAUUAAUACCGCAUACUCCUUACGAGGGAAAGGGGCCUGACCACUAAAUUUAAUUUAUAGUGUAUUUUAUUUACAAUAAUAUAAUUAAGUUAAAUUUAGUGGUCAGGUCUCACUAAUAGAUGAGCCUAAGCAAGAUUAGCUAGUUGGUGGGGUAAAAGCCUACCAAGGCGACGAUCUUUAGCUGGUCUGAGAGGAUGAUCAGCCACACUGGGACUGAGACACGGCCCAGACUCCUACGGGAGGCAGCAGUGGGGAAUAUUGGACAAUGGGGGAAACCCUGAUCCAGCCAUGCCGCGUGUGUGAAGAAGGCCUUUUGGUUGUAAAGCACUUUAAGCAGUGAGGAAAAGCUAGAUGUUAAUACCAUCUAGCCCUGACGUUAACUGCAGAAUAAGCACCGGCUAACUCUGUGCCAGCAGCCGCGGUAAUACAGAGGGUGCAAGCGUUAAUCGGAAUUACUGGGCGUAAAGAGAACGUAGGUGGUCAAUUAAGUCAAAUGUGAAAUCCCUGAGCUCAACUUAGGAACUGCAUUUGAUACUGGUUGACUAGAGUAGGUGAGAGGAGAGUAGAAUUCCAGGUGUAGCGGUGAAAUGCGUAGAUAUCUGGAGGAAUACCGAUGGCGAAGGCAGCUCUCUGGCAUCAUACUGACACUGAGGUUCGAAAGCGUGGGUAGCAAACGGG
rnacentral:rRNA from 1 species